rnacentral:lncRNA from 1 species
AAAAGUUUUGGUGAUGAGACAUUCAGGAAGAUCUAUCAAUAAAUAGCAAACCUGGUCCUUUUUAAGACACUGUGUAUAAAAAAAUUCCAAAAAGAUUAAAAUCAGUGCAGAAACCAAAGAACCAUUUUUUUCUAUAUCAUAUUGAUCAUUUCAAGUGGAACUGUUAGCUAUCUUAGAAAAAUUGUGGUUCUCAAUUGGUUUUGCCUCUAUCUCUGAACCACCAUUCCUAAAGGAAAACAUUCAACCAGAAAAUUUCAGCACAUCACAAUCUCUCUGAAGAUUAAGAAGUCUCUGUGAAGGACUGAAUGUAUAAAUUGAAAAAUUUUUGCUGUCACAUUUAGGUAAAAGAGAAAUCGUUCUUCAUAUCCCCUUCCUUUCCAUCUGUAGCUCACCUAUGUCAACUUUCCUCUCAGAAGUGAAAUAAAAUUAAAGCUAUGACACUGAGUGUCAGUCAUGGAGGGACACGUUCCCCACUUAGCCUUUGCUGAAGUGUUUCCAGAGACAACUGUCUAAUGCCAGGUCCCCACUUAGUGGGCUGCACUUUUCUACUCAUUUGCACAUAAUCCAGAAGUCACAUUUUGGGUUCACAGUUUCCACUGGGGUAACCUCAUUAGGCCUGGCCACCUCUGUGCUUCUUGUGAAGUCUCUGAUUUGAAGGAUUAGUAUCCUUUCCAGACUGUGUGGGUUGACUUUCACCCAUCUGGAGUUGCUUGGAACAAAGAUAACUACCUCAACUCCUUGUCAUGAAAGCAAAAAAAAAAUAGCAUUAGAGUUCUGAGAACAGGAUGUCAUUACGGGUUGUGCCUUGUCAGCUACAGGUAAGAUAUUUGAGUGGCUCCUCAAGCCUCCCCAACUCCCUCUCCAACCUCGCUACACAGUCUUCCCAGGUCUGGUAUUUGACCUCCAGACUGCCGCCCAGAAAGCAACUCAGAGCUCAGCAACACCAUGAUGAUGAAACACAAAUAUGUGGGCCCCCAACUUUGGAGACUCCACUGGUUGCUUUUGUGCAGCUCUUUCUAUAUAUGACUUUCAAAAUGGCAGCCAACCCUCUCAACUGUUGGUUGAUCUGAAUAUGUAAAGUUCAGCCUUCAAACCCAGCAAACAGUCAGCUAUAGGAUAGAGUUCAGGUGCUGGGGAAUGACCACGGUUGGCUGCUACGUUGGGAACCCUGGUGACAUCAUAUAUGGACCUGGGAAUGUAAAGAAACGUAGGAAAUCUGAAUUUAUGACUUUUCUAAUCUCUCUAUCGGGAUCCUUUUUUGGAAUCAAGAUGAUUUUCCUUCUAAAAGGUCAUUUUAUUACAGUAAUGGGCAGGGUAGACAUACCUCACUAGCGUACUCUCAAAAUUUCUUGCAUGCAUAUGCUUUCUCCGGCAUGCAUAUGCUUUCUACUACAAUGUGAACAAGCCUACGAAAGCUAGCCUAAUGGAGGAUGAGAGACCACGUGGAGGAGAGCUGAAGUGCCCCAGCCAGCAGCUAGCCUACACCCACAGCUAUUUUGCUUGUGUUCCACUCGUCCUAUUUGCAUAAUAUUGUUCUUUAAGUUAACCCAUUCUUAAUUUAUUGUUUUAAUCUUAAGCAAUAAUAUUCAAGAACUAAUGAGUUUUGUGUAUUCAUUAUAUUUUUCCAUAAUAUAUAUUAUACUAAUAAAUGCCCAUUCAAAUUUU